UUCCACUGAUAUCCAUGGACA
ensembl:piRNA 21ur-398 ncRNA